rnacentral:rRNA from 1 species
UACAGAGGUCCCAAGCGUUGUUCGGAUUCACUGGGCGUAAAGGGUGCGUAGGCGGUCGGGUAAGUCUGAUGUGAAAUCUCACAGCUUAACUGUGAAACUGCAUUGGAUACUAUUCGGCUUGAGAGUUGGAGGGGGACUGGAAUUCUUGGUGUAGCAGUGAAAUGCGUAGAUAUCGGGAGGAACACCAGAGGCGAAGGCGGCGUACUGGACGGCAACUGACACUCAACUGCGAAAGCGUGGGGAGCAAACAGG